rnacentral:pre_miRNA from 1 species
AUCCCGUUCAGCUAUGAGUUUCUAUGUCUAACGUUUUACCGUUUAUUUUAUUUUAUUUUUUUAUAAUUAGUAUUUUCAUUGUUAUUAGAUGAUAAAAUAUAAAUAGUACUUGAUACAUGACUUACUACUUUUUAGAUUUUUUUAUAAAUUCUUAAGUAGGACGACCAGAAUAUUUGACACGAAAAUGAGAUGGAGUACUGAGU